GGAUGUGAGGGUGACAUCUGUCACCCAUUGAUCACCAGGGCUGAUUUGGCUGAUCUGGCUAGCUAGGUGGGGAUCCCCUUCAUCCCUCACUGCUCCAUGUACUUUCCUCUGGAAGCUGCAUGCUUGGUCAAGAGGACAGCCUUCCCUAAACAGAGGAAGAUUAGUCUUUGGUCAAGGAUAUAUGGGUAGCUGUGCCCCCCUGCUGGAACCUGCAAAGAAGCUCUCAGAUGUGCAUAGAUUUUUACAGUCACUGUUGUUUGGUCUUUGGGUUGAAAGGGUCCACUGUGUGUGACUUUGUCCAUUACAGUCAUUGCAC
rnacentral:snRNA from 1 species